GCCUGGGUGGCUCAGCGGUUUAAGCGCCUGUCUUUGGCCCAGGGCAUGAUCCUGGAGACCUGGGAUCGAGUCCCGGAUCGGGCU
rnacentral:tRNA from 1 species